rnacentral:rRNA from 1 species
GCGGCAGGCCUAACACAUGCAAGUCGAGCGGUAGAGAGAAGCUUGCUUCUCUUGAGAGCGGCGGACGGGUGAGUAAUACCUAGGAAUCUGCCUGAUAGUGGGGGAUAACGUUCGGAAACGGACGCUAACACCGCAUACGUCCUACGGGAGAAAGCAGGGGACCUUCGGGCCUUGCGCUAUCAGAUGAGCCUAGGUCGGAUUAGCUAGUUGGUGAGGUAAUGGCUCACCAAGGCUACGAUCCGUAACUGGUCUGAGAGGAUGAUCAGUCACACUGGAACUGAGACACGGUCUAGACUCCUACGGGAGGCAGCAGUGGGGAAUAUUGGACAAUGGGCGAAAGCCUGAUCCAGCCAUGCCGCGUGUGUGAAGAAGGUCUUCGGAUUGUAAAGCACUUUAAGUUGGGAGGAAGGGCAGUUACCUAAUACGUGACUGUCUUGACGUUACCGACAGAAUAAGCACCGGCUAACUCUGUGCCAGCAGCCGCGGUAAUACAGAGGGUGCAAGCGUUAAUCGGAAUUACUGGGCGUAAAGCGCGCGUAGGUGGUUUGUUAAGUUGAAUGUGAAAUCCCCGGGCUCAACCUGGGAACUGCAUCCAAAACUGGCAAGCUAGAGUAUGGUAGAGAGUAGUGGAAUUUCCUGUGUAGCGGUGAAAUGCGUAGAUAUAGGAAGGAACACCAGUGGCGAAGGCGACUACCUGGACUGAUACUGACACUGAGGUGCGAAAGCGU